rnacentral:rRNA from 1 species
AGCUCCAAUAGCGUAUAUUAAAGUUGUUGCGGUUAAAAAGCUCGUAGUUGGAUUUCUGUUGAGGAGGUCCGGUCCGCAUUUUAGUGCGUGUAUCUGGUUCCGCCUUGGCAUCUUCUUGUGGAACGCGUUGCGAUUGAUUUCGUGACCGGUACAUAAGACAUUUACUUUGAGGAAAUUAGAGUGUUUCAGGCAGGCUUGCGCCUUGAAUAUAUUAGCAUGGAAUAAUAAUAUAAGACCAGCGUCUAAUUAUUGGUUUUUGGAUGCUGGUAAUGAUUAAUAGGGAUAAUUGGGGGCAUUUGUAUUAACGCGUCAGAGGUGGAAUUCUUGGAUUGCGUUACGACAAACUAAUGCGAAAGCAUUUGCCAAGGAUGUUUUCA